rnacentral:rRNA from 1 species
GUUGAACGCUGGCGGCAUGCCUUACACAUGCAAGUCGAACGGCAGCACGGGAGCAAUCCUGGUGGCGAGUGGCGAACGGGUGAGUAAAGUAUCGGAACGUGCCCAGUCGUGGGGGAUAACGUAGCGAAAGUUACGCUAAUACCGCAUACGAUCUAUGGAUGAAAGCGGGGGAUCGCAAGACCUCGCGCGAUUGGAGCGGCCGAUAUCAGAUUAGGUAGUUGGUGGGGUAAAGGCUCACCAAGCCGACGAUCUGUAGCUGGUCUGAGAGGACGACCACCCACACUGGGACUGAGACACGGCCCAGACGCCUACGGGAGGCAGCAGUGGGGAAUUUUGGACAAUGGGCGCAAGCCUGAUCCAGCCAUGCCGCGUGCAGGAUGAAGGCCUUCGGGUUGUAAACUGCUUUUGUACGGAACGAAAAGGUUUGACUUAAUACGUUGGACUCAUGACGGUACCGUAAGAAUAAGCACCGGCUAACUACGUGCCAGCCGCCGCCGUAA